rnacentral:lncRNA from 1 species
UUUGUUUGAUAUUUUAAUUUCUUUUUUUAAUUGAUUAUUUGUUUAUGAUACUAAUUUAGAUUAUAUUGCAUGAUUGAUCCGUUUAUACACAUAUUUGUGCUAUUUAAAUCGCGCGUCAAAUUUCAUUCCUUAUAAGGGUAUGCAAUUGGUGUUUAUUCUAAGUAAUAUAGUCGCAUUAAACCAUCAAGAAUUACACAAUCCUUGAUUUAA